CUCAAGUGUCUCUUCAAGUUAUACUUGAUAAAUACAGUUCUUAAUACUUCACCUUGAUGGAUGAAGCAAUACAUCUGUGCUAGAGAUCAGCCUGGUCCAGAGAAUGAAGCAUGAUGAGGAAAUUUCAGGCACACGCAUCUCCUAGACCCCAAAUUGGGGACUCAGCCCAGAGUGGUCAAGGUUAAAGUUGUUUCUUACAUGUGAUGCCAUUCCAGCCCUGGACUCAUGGAGGCUGAACAUUUAUUCAGGUAAUAAUAGGUAACAUUUAUGGGAUACUUUCUGUGUACUGUGUACCAGGAUAUAAACUAAGUGCUAUACCUGCAUUAUCAUUUAAUCUUCACACAACCCCAUAGGGUUGGAAGUAAUUAUUGUGCCCAUUUAGUAGAUGAAGAAAUUGAGAUUUAGGAAGUAUAUCAAGAUUCAGUUCAUGCUGGAACACUUGCCUAGCAAGUAAGAGCCCCUAGGUUCAGUCCCUAGUAGGGGAAGGGGGAAUUGAGUUCAGCUCAGCUGAAUUAAAAAAUAAAGCCUCUUUGGCUCCAGCCA
rnacentral:lncRNA from 1 species